rnacentral:rRNA from 1 species
GCUCCUACGGGACGCAGCAGUGGGGAAUAUUGCACAAUGGGGGAAACCCUGAUGCAGCGACGCCGCGUGAGUGAAGAAGUAUUUCGGUAUGUAAAGCUCUAUCAGCAGGGAAGAAAAUGACGGUACCUGACUAAGAAGCCCCGGCUAACUACGUGCCAGCAGCCGCGGUAAUACGUAGGGGGCAAGCGUUAUCCGGAUUUACUGGGUGUAAAGUGAGCGUAGACGGCCAGACAAGUCAGAAGUGCAAGCCCAUAGCGCAACCCUGGGACUGCUGUUGAAACUGCCGGGCUGGAGUGCAGGAGAGG